rnacentral:rRNA from 1 species
AGGAUAAACGCUGGCGGCGUGCCUAACACAUGCAAGUCGAACGUCCUACGCAAGUAGGGAGUGGCGGACGGGUGAGUAACACGUGGGCAAUCUACCUUUCGGUGAGGAAUACCGGCGAGAAAUCGCCGACAAUACCGCAUACGCUUCGCAAGAAGCAAAGUCGCAAGACGCCGGAGGAGGAGCCUGCGCCCGAUUAGCUGGUUGGUGGAGUAAUGGUCUACCAAGGCGACGAUGGGUAGCUGGUCUGAGAGGACGAUCAGCCACACUGGGACUGAGACACGGCCCAGACUCCUACGGGAGGCAGCAGUAGGGAAUCUUGCGCAAUGCGCGAAAGCGUGACGCAGCAACGCCGCGUGGGGGAAGAAGGCCCUCGGGUUGUAAACCCCUUUCAGUUGGGACGAAGCUUCGUCGGUUAAUAGCCGACUGGAGUGACGGUACCUUCACAAGAAGCACCGGCUAACUACGUGCCAGCAGCCGC